GAUGAACGCUGGCGGCGUGCUUAACACAUGCAAGUCGAACGGAAAGGCCCAAGCUUGCUUGGGUACUCGAGUGGCGAACGGGUGAGUAACACGUGGGUGAUCUGCCCUGCACUUCGGGAUAAGCCUGGGAAACUGGGUCUAAUACCGGAUAGGACCACAUUUUGGAUGGUGUGGUGGAAGGUUUUUCGGUGUGGGAUGAGCUCGCGGCCUAUCAGCUUGUUGGUGGGGUAAUGGCCUACCAAGGCGUCGACGGGUAGCCGGCCUGAGAGGGUGUACGGCCACAUUGGGACUGAGAUACGGCCCAGACUCCUACGGGAGGCAGCAGUGGGGAAGAUUGCACAAGGGGCGCAAGCCUGAUGCAGCGACGCCGCGUGGGGGAUGACGGCCUUCGGGUUGUAAACUCCUUUCGCUAGGGACGAAGCGUUAUGUGACGGUACCUGGAGAAGAAGCACCGGCUAACUACGUG
rnacentral:rRNA from 1 species